UACGAAGGGGGCUAGCGUUGCUCGGAAUCACUGGGCGUAAAGGGUGCGUAGGCGGGUCUUUAAGUCAGGGGUGAAAUCCUGGAGCUCAACUCCUGAACUGCCUUUGAUACUGAGGAUCUUGAGUUCGGGAGAGGUGAGUGGAACUGCGAGUGUAGAGGUGAAAUUCGUAGAUAUUCGCAAGAACACCAGUGGCGAAGGCGGCUCACUGGCCCGAUACUGACGCUGAGGCACGAAAGCGUGGGGAGCAAACAGG
rnacentral:rRNA from 1 species